UACGGAGGGUGCAAGCGUUAUCCGGAUUUACUGGGUUUAAAGGGUGCGCAGGCGGAUAUGUAAGUCAGUGGUGAAAUCUCUGGGCUUAACCCGGAAAUUGCCAUUGAUACUAUAUAUCUUGAAUGCUGUGGAGGUAAGCGGAAUAUGUCAUGGUAGCGGAUGAAAUGCUUAGAGAUGACAUAGAACACCUAUUGCGAAGGCAGCUUACUACGCAGAUAUUGA
rnacentral:rRNA from 1 species